GGAAAGGAUGCGGGAGUGGCCCAGCCCGCGGCAACUACUUGCAAUAUUAUUAAUAAAUAUAGCGAAAAUUAAUAUUGAAUGCUGACCAAGCCAGACGUUGUUUCAAGCUCCAUGCAGGAAUUAUUUCAUUUAAUCUUCAAAUCCCCUAGAUGCCCAUUUUACAGAACCCACGACCUUGGUGUUAUCAGCACCAUUAUAGGAUUCUUGAAUAGAGACAGGACCUGCUCAGUGGAUUCCUAUCCAAAGAUGCCCCCUCUCCUCUCUCAAUGAGAAGAGAUGAAAUACUGC